UUAGACCCGUUGACUGUUCGUACUUCAGAAGCGAACCAGAGUUAGAUUGCUUGCCAGGAUCACGUGGAUUUAGCAAGCAGUUUAUGAUUUGAGCUUUGGUCGAUCUCCGUUUCUUCAUUCUCGGAGGUUCUUUAUUUAUUUCAGAAAUAAAGUGUCGAACUAUUUUAAACUCUUAGACCGCAGUAGUAGUUUCAUAUUAUUCA